rnacentral:rRNA from 1 species
UACGAAGGGGGCUAGCGUUGUUCGGAAUUACUGGGCGUAAAGCGCACGUAGGCGGGUGGUUAAGUCAGGGGUGAAAUCCCGGAGCUCAACUCCGGAACUGCCUUUGAUACUGGCCAUCUAGAGAUCGGAAGAGGUGAGUGGAAUUCCCAGUGUAGAGGUGAAAUUCGUAGAUAUGGGAAGAACACCAGUGGCGAAGGCGGCUCACUGGGACGAUACUGACGCUGAGGUGCGAAAGCGUGGGGAGCAAACAGG